rnacentral:rRNA from 1 species
GACGAACGCUGGCGGCGUGCUUAACACAUGCAAGUCGAACGGAAAGGCCCUGCUUUUGUGGGGUGCUCGAGUGGCGAACGGGUGAGUAACACGUGAGUAACCUGCCCUUGACUUUGGGAUAACUUCAGGAAACUGGGGCUAAUACCGGGUAGGAGCUCCUGCUGCAUGGUGGGGGUUGGAAAGUUUCGGCGGUUGGGGAUGGACUCGCGGCUUAUCAGCUUGUUGGUGGGGUAGUGGCUUACCAAGGCUUUGACGGGUAGCCGGCCUGAGAGGGUGACCGGACACAUUGGGACUGAGAUACGGCCCAGACUCCUACGGGAGGCAGCAGUGGGGAAUAUUGCACAAUGGGCGGAAGCCUGAUGCAGCAACGCCGCGUGCGGGAUGACGGCCUUCGGGUUGUAAACCGCUUUCGCCUGUGACGAAGCGUGAGUGACGGUAAUGGGUAAAGAAGCACCGGCUAACUACGUG